rnacentral:rRNA from 1 species
UACGGGGGGGGCAAGCGUUGUUCGGAAUUACUGGGCGUAAAGGGCUCGUAGGCGGCCAACUAAGUCGGAUGUGAAAUCCCCAGGCUCAACCUGGGAACUGCAUCCGAUACUGGAUGGCUUGAAUUCGGGAGAGGGAUGCAGAAUUCCAGGUGUAGCGGUGAAAUGCGUAGAUAUCUGGAGGAAUACCGGUGGCGAAGGCGGCAUCCUGGACCGACAUUGACGCUGAGGAGCGAAAGCGUGGGGAGCGAACAGG